AUUACCCACAUCAUAAUUCCUUUCAGCUUUGGACAUUUGUCUAGAAAAGAAGCCACAAGGAUGCAAUGGCCUUUCAGGCGAUUCUCUUUGGGACAAAACAGCACCUACCCCGAUUUCAGAAGCAUCAACUUCAAGAAUAUAAGGCAGUGAGGGGAUAGGGUGCUGUAAAAUAGGUGCAGAGGCAAAUGUAGUUUUAAGAAAGUCGAAAGCCUGAAGUGCCUCGGGAGACCGGACACGAGUAUUACCACCCUUUUUUGCCAUACGGGUGAUAGGUGCUACAAUAGACGAAAAACCCUUAAUAAAGCGUCUAUAAUAGUUAGAGAAACCAAGAAAACGUUGAAUUGCUUUCAAGCCCUGUGGUAGAGGCCACUCUAUGACAGCAGAAAGCUUCUGGGGAUCCAUACGAAACCCUUUGGCGGAAAUCAAAUACCCCAAGAACUGGACUUCGGAUUGGUCAAAUAAACAUUUCUCUAGUUUACAAUAAAGACCAUUAGUAAGAAGGGUCUUCAGGACCGUUGUGACAUGUCUGUGAUGAGUGUGCAAAUCUGUAGAAUAUAUCAAUAUGUCGUCCAAGUAUACAAUUACAAAUGUGUGAAUAAAGUCUCUUAGGACGUCAUUAAUAAAUUCCUGAAAUACUGCUGGGGCAUUGCAAAGACCAAAUGGC